GCCGCAAAGGUAACUCGGAAAUGUCAUGUUCCUCGCUACUACCACGAUCCAGCUAUUCAGGGGAUAUCUAUGAGUACCCUAGCCCAAACACCACGUUUACGCUAGCAAUGAUUACUCUAAACUCAAUCGGAAGAGAUUAAAGUAAACUCAUAAACCAAAGAACAAUAAAACAAGAACUUACUAGAAUUUCGAAGUCAAAAUACUGAAGAAUCCUAGGAGCAAGCCUCGGGUUAGGAGAGCUUGAUCCCGUGGGUACAACCUCGGAGUAGACACCGACAGGCCGAGCUUCCUCCGAUCUACACCUCCACUCUAUCUCUCUCAAUCUAGUAGAUCUAGUCUACUCUCACAUUGGAUGCUAAGCCCUAUGUCUAAUUAUAGGAGAGGUUAUCCUUCGAGGGCACCUCUCAACUCUAUGAUGAACUUGUUCUCCUCUAGGAGCCAGGGGGUCUGCUUAUAUAGUCCCCUCAAGUGAAUCUAGGCCGUCGGAUCAAACCGACAUUGAUUGAACGGUUGUCCUUGAUCCUUUAGGUCGGUGGAGCGUAAUCUGCGAGACGGGUCCUAAUUGGACUCUGCACCAGGGCGGGCACCCUAGGGGGAGGGCGGGCGCCCUGCCCCCGGGCCCGAUCAAUUUCUCGUUCGUUCCCGUGGCUUCUGGAGUCUUCUAGAUGAUAGAAAAUUACGCGGCACAUUAAUAUCUCUAUGUAAACCCAACAUGUGGGCCUUUCUUCCGUAUUUCCUGAUAAUGCCCUGCAGAAAUAGACAAACACCAAAACUCAUGGAAUUCUAUCAGAUAAACCCCUAAGUCUAGGUGUUGGUUGCAUUUGGAUCCUUUUCAUUAUUUAUUUAAUGAUUAUAUUUGGUACUUAAGGACCGUCAACACACAUAACCUUUAUCUAAAAGUGCUUGUACUUGCCUUUGAAUCUCCUUGGUUUGGAAGUGUAGCUCCAGGAAUGAGAUCAAUUUGAUGUUCAAUGCCACGCAAGGGAGGAAGACCAGCAUGUGUUUCCUCUAGAAAGACAUUUUCAUAUUCCUGCAAAAUAUGUGCAACAAUACUAGGGAUAGAUGUUAAGUCGUUAGCUGAAAUCAACGUGUCUUUGCACACAAGUAUGAUCAAUACAUGUUCUGGGUUUCUCCUCACUUCUCUCAUUUCAGAUUUGGUGGUUAUCAUCACUAAGUUCUCUCCCUCUCUUUUAUUCUUUUCUCUCAUAUUUGGCUUGUGGCUCUCACACUCCGAUUUGUGGAUGGCACUCAAAUUGUUUUUCUCUCCUUCUUUUGCACUCUCAUUCGUUGCUUCAGAACUCUUUUGCAUGUGCUCAGCUAGAAUUUGUUGUGGUGUCAUCGGUUUAAGAAUCAACUCCAUGCCCUUCCACUUGAUGGUGUAUUGAUUGGUUCUACCACAAUGUAGAGAUGAUCGAUCAUAUUGCCAUGGUCUUCCCAACAGCAUGUGACACACUGUCAUAGGCACCACAUCACACUCCAUGGUGUCAAUAUAUUCACCAAUCUUGAAAGGAACUUUUUGUGUAAUCUUAACAGAACCUGAAUUAUUAAGUCACUGCACAUGGUAUGGAUGAGGAUGUUUCAGCAGCUUCAAACCAAGCUUUUCAACCAUUUCGUUGCAAGCAAGAUUGUGGCAACUUCCUCCAUCAAUGAUCACCUUCACAACCUUAUCUUGCACUUUAGCUCUAGUAUGAAAAAGAUUGUGCCGCUGUCCAUUUUCAGCAUCACUCACUUGCACACUCAAAAUUUGAGUUACAACAAGAGCAGCACCAGAUUCAAAUUCAUAGAUGUCCUUCUCAAGAGUAUUCUCCUCUUCACUUUUUUCUUCUACCUCACUUGUAGAUUCAUACUCUCCUUGAUCAUUCACAAUGAUAGUUCUAUUGUUUGGACACUCUCUUGCAACAUGACCACGACCACCACACUUGAAGCGCUGUAUUCCACUACUCUUGGUGGAAGAACUCACUGAGUUUGCUGAUUUGCUUUUCUCAUUUGGAGCAGCCAUCUCAUUGCCACUAGAAGCUCCAAAAUUGCUAGAGCAUGCCCUACCACUUGAGUUGGAGAUUGUAACUUUACAUACACUACCUCUUGGUGUGAAUUUACAUCCACUUGUUGCACUCUUUGUGCUGAAAGAUACUCCUCUAUUAGACUUCAUAUAUUGCUGCAAUUGACGUUCAGCUUUGCUAGCUUGAUGCACCAAUUCAACAAGAUUGUGGUAUUGCUUAAACUCAACAAUGCGCUGAAUAUUACGAUGCAGCCCUGACAUAAAUCUUGCAAUUGUUUGCUCUUCAUCUUCAUAUACAUUGGCUCUAAUCAUCGCCUUCUCCAUCCCUUUAUAAUAAUCAUCAAUACUGAGGCUUCCUUGCUUCAGAUUCUGCAGCUUGUCAAAUAAAUCACGAUGAUAAUGUUUGGGGAUAAAUCUUGCCCUCAAUUCUCUUUUCAUUUCAGCCCAUGAACGAACAUCAGCUUGGCCAGCUUCUUCUCUUUCUUUCAGCAUUUGCUCCCACCAGAUUAGAGCAUAUCCAUCGAACUCAAGAGCAUCCAUGGCAACCUUCCUUUCCUCCAAAUAAUUAUGCACAUGAAAAAUUUUAUCCACCUUCAACUCUCAUGUAAGAUAUGUUUCAGGAUCAGAUCCUCCUUCAAACUUGGGCAUGGUGAAUUUUAACUUGCCAAACAUCUCCUCAUUGGGUCGACUGCGCCCAUGAUUAUCUCGGUGACGACGAUCAUCAUGAUAGGGCUGUUGAACCUCUUCUUCUUCAUCAUCUUCUUCAGUUUCAGUUUCCUCUAGCCUAUGAUCUCUUCCACAAUCAGCACCUCUGCCAUCAUUUCCACGACUUUGAAGUGGAGGUCUUCUUGCAUUUGCAGCAACAUUGUUUCUCUGUCCUCUUUGUUGUUCUAUUGCAAUUCUAGCAGCAACUUCUUUUUCUAUUUCCUCAACAUCAUCUCUAUGUUGACUUGCAUUGGCAUCAUUACGAGGGUGAUCUUGAAUGCGAUUCAUAAGUGCUUGAACAUUGGCUUUUAGCUCCUCCAUACUUUGCUUCAUCUCAUUGAAUUGUGUCAUGGUGACACAAUCUUCAAACUCAGCCAUCUUCCUAUCAAGUUAGUGAUGGUGUGUAGCAAAUAUGUAUAUUUGUGGAAUAGAAAAUUAUAUGUGGAAUCUCUCAAUCUCACCUCUCUUACCAACCGAAGCUUGUGCGUGUUCCCUACAGUAGAUUACAGAGGACCAAUGCGAGGUGGUAACCGAGAAUGAUGGUUGGGAGAAUCCAAGAUCAGUGUUUUCCAAUGAAGGUGGAUUAUUUGUGGAGCUGGUGGGGAUAUAAUUCUCAAGGAAUACAACUGAAUUCAGGAUAUUUUGAAAGUUAAACCGCAGUCCCAAAUAGAAGUACAAUGCCUAGUGCUAACCACAAGAUAUGAGCGAUGUAAAUGGAUCAAACACACACGCAAAGAUACUUUCAGAUUUGAUGCAAACAAGGAGUAUGUGUCGGUGUUUUCCCCACGGUGGGUCACACCAACGAGUGAAUUUGUAUGCGUGCUCCCUUUUCCAGAUGGUGACGCAAAAAGACACAAAGAUUUAUCCUGGUUCGGGCAAGAGAAGACCCUACGUCCAGCGGGGGAGGAGAGUUUGUAUUAUUUUGCACCUAAGUGCUUGUACAGGGGUGAAUACAAGCGCGGUAUGGAAUGAGGUGGAGUAUGAAAGUUCUACUGCGUAUGGGUGUAGUGUUGUGUGAUGUCUUCUCCCUUGUGUUCGCUCCCGGGCCUCCCCUUUUAUAGUUCCAAGGAGAAGCCUAGGGUACAAGUAUAGGCGUCAGAGUAGGGGUCGAUAGAGGUAUGGCGCGUGGGCCUACUCGAGGCCUCCGUACUGGCGUGGUCUCGAGCCGUCCUGUCCUGGUAGCUUGAUGGUGAUUAUGCGUGCCCCUGUAUCCCGCUCCGUGCGCCGUCGUGGACUGGUUUAUCAGUCGCACGCCUGUACGUCAUGGCGGCAGACACAUCGGAGUGGCUACAGUGUUGUCACUCGACGCCCAACCCUUCCCUAGGAAGGAAACUUGUCUGGUCGAGGGUCGGACGCCGUGUAGCGCCUUGCUAUCCAGAGCGUUGACCUUGGAUGUCUUGAGGGGGUAUUGAUUAGACGUUCCAACCCUACUUCCUGCGUCCUGACAUACUCUGGAUUGUUUGGCGGGGAAGGCUGCAGAAAGGAUGACGGGACGAGUGCCUGUUCCCUAUCACGUUUCCCGUGACCGGCAUGUUAGGUGGGAAAGCGACAGGUGCAUUAAAUGAUGUGAACCCACUAGGGUUUUCGCCUGAUCUUUCGAUGAGAGGCGCUGGAUAACUCGAUUAGUGAAUGGAGAUGACGUUCACGGCCCGACUACAGCCCUCAAGACUGCGCCUUAGCAACCGAUACACCGCCUCCAAUGGCUGUCACGGUCUUGUGGAGCGCAACACCCGACCACUAGGGCACGUCCCUAAUGGACUCAACUUGAUACAUGGGCCAUUGGUCCAAAAUAGGGUGACGCAGCACCAAAACAGAAAAAGGUGUCGGCACGAAAACAAGGACUGCGCCCGACUCAUAAGCUGCAUAGAUAUGUGGUUGGACCCAUUGGAAAGUAGACUUCAUGAGCUUUCCAACAAGUAUAGGAACGUCCCAGUUGGAGUCCAUAUGACGCCGUGGUGAUCCAUACAAGUUAGAGUUAUUUUUCCAGUCCGAAUCCAACUCCCAAAACGUGUUGGGUUUGGACUCUUUGUUUCCUUGCUUUAGAAGCGACGUGGUAACUUGAUAGAGGAUGUUGUGGAGGCUUGGACCUGAUCUCCAAUCACCUUUGUUAAGUUAUCACUCUUCCCAUAUGCAAUCAGCCCUUGAAGUUGGUGUUGCCUCAAAUUCUGAAUGCAGUUGAACCUUCCCUUGCUGAUCUUGUCCAUUAUUCCUGAGCAACACGAAAUGCACGUGUCUCCAUUGUCUAAAUAUGAUUGACAAGAGUUUAAAACUGAACUUACUUGAAGGUUGAGUUGACGGGCACGAGCACGAGUAAGAGGACCAGCUAUAGGUUGUGUCGGAGAGGAUGUAGGACCAGCUAUAGGUUGUGCCGGAGAGGAUGUAGGAUAUGUAUCGCUGGUGGAUGUAGGAUAUGUAUCGCUUGUGUUGAUGUCCUCAUCAUCCUCCCUUUCUUGCAUUUGAGUCGUCCUCGACUCAAGCUCAUCUUCCUCACCCAAAUAAGGCUUCAAAUCUGCAAUGUUAAAUGUGGGACUAACCCCAAAAUCUGCAGGAAGAUCAAGCUUAUAUGCAUUCUCAUUAAUUCGUUGCAGCACUUUAAAAGGACCAUCAGCUCUAGGCAUCAAUUUGGAUUUUCUCAGUUCUGGAAAUCUAUCUUUUCGCAAAUGCACCCAAACCAAAUCCCCAGGUUCCAGAAUCAAUUGCUUUCUACCUUUAUCUCCCAAUUUCAUACGAAUCUGGUGGUACCCACUACCUAAAUCAACUUUUGAAAACACAACAGCACCACUCAGUUCAUCUAGCAUAUCAUCUAAUCGUGGAAUAGGGUGUCGAUAUCGAAUGGUGAUAUUAUUAAUAGCUCUACAAUCAACACACAUACGCCAUGUUCCAUCUUUCUUAGGCACUAAAAUUACUGGAACAGCACAAGGACUAAGAGAUUCUUGGACAUAACCUUUGUCUAGUAGUUCUUGCACUUGUCGCUGAAUUUCCUUUGUUUCCUCCUGGUUUGUCCUGUAUGGUGCACGAUUUGGCAAAACUGAUCCAGGAAUAAGAUCAAUUUGGUGCUCAAUCCCGCGUAGUGGAGGCAGCCCCGCUGGUACCUCACUUGGAAACACAUCAGAAUACUCCAGCAAAACGUUAGCAACAGCAGGGGGCAAAGAACAUUGCAUAUCCUCAAUUGAAAUCAAAGCAUCCUUGCAUAUCAAAGCAUAAGCAACAGAAGUGGAUGCAUUGAAGUCAUUAAUAUCUGAUUUGGUAGCUAUCAUACAACGUCCUUUCAGUUUUAUCUCAUCUUUGUUACCAAUUACAGAUUUAUCAUUUUUAUUGCUCUUGCUCUUUGCUUUAGUAGCCCUAGCAACAUCAGUUUGCAUAAUAGUUUCAGGGGACAUAGGAUGCAACACAAUUUUGCAAUCAUGGUAUAGAAAAGAAUACUGAUUUGAUCUACCAUGAUGCAUAGAAUCUCUAUCAAAUUGCCAAGGUCUACCUAGCAGAAUGUUACAAGCUUGCAUAGGCACAACAUCACAUUCAACAAUAUCUUUGUAGGAUCCGAUGGAAAAAUUAAUUCUCACAAGUCUAGUUACCUUUGCCUUACCACUGUUGUUCAGCCAUUGGAUGUAGUAGGGAUGCGGGUGUGGUUUGGUGUUGAGGGCAAGCUUCUGCACCAUAUCGCUGCUUGCCAAGUUGUUGCAGCUACCUCCAUCAAUGAUCAUGCGACAAGAACGCUCUUUGAUGACACACUUUGUUUGGAAUAAAAUGUGUCGCUGAUUUUGCUCCGCCAUCUCCAUUUGUGCACUAAGCACUCACUGCACGAUCAAGCUCUCAUAGUGGUCCGCUUCACCAGCAUUAAUAUGUUCUUCUAUUUGAUCUUCGUUACCUGCAUGGUCAGUCGCAAGCAGUGCAAGUGUAUCCUCAUCAAAAUUACUAGCAGAUGAGUACUCACCAUCAUCCCUGACAAUCAUAACUCGCUUAUUUGGGCAGUCACGCAUCAUGUGCCCAUAUCCCUUGCAUCGAUGACACUGAACAUCUCUUGUUCUUCCCGUGGAAUUAACCGAGGUGGCACUAGCGAUUGGUCUCUGGGCUGAUUUAGUUGCUGUAUUUGUGGAAGAAUCAUGUGGUUUGUCGCUAUAGGAAGGUGGUGGAGCUAUUGAUCGGCUUGAUGGAAGAGGUACACCACCCGACAAUGUAGCAGAUGUGCGUUGUUGCCAGGAUUUCCCUGCAGAAUUGUUAGAUUUGGUAGUAGAACGUUGUCCCUGCACUUCCCUUUCAGCUUUACAAGCAAGAUGAAACAAACGGGUUACGUUAGUAUAAUCUUUAUAAGCAAGAAUGUCCUGGAUUUCACGAUUUAACCCGCCCAAAAAUCUAGCCAUAGCAGGUUCUUCUUCCUCCUCUAAAUUACAUCGCAGCAUACCCAUUUGUAAUUCCUGAUAAUAUUCUUCUACACUUUUAGCACCUUGUCUCAAUUGCUACAACUUAUUAAUCAUGUCACGAGCAUAGUAAGAAGGAACAAAUCUAGCCCUCAUGACUUGUUUCAACGCAUUCCAAGUUCUAGGUAUGUUAUUAGGAUUUUUCUUGCCAUGUUCUAUCCACCAAACGGAAGCAAAAUCGGUGAACUCACUAGUAGCAGCCCUAACACGUGUAUCCUCAGGGAAUUCAUGACAUGUAAACUUUUGGUCAACAGCAAUCUCCCAAGUAAUGUAUGCAUCAGGGUCAUAUUUACCAUCAAAAGGAGGUAUUUUAAAUUUAAUCUUACUGAAAGCAUCAUUAUUAUUGUGUACCUCGCGUCGGUGGUGGCCACCCAUACCUCUACGGGUGUGACGUAGGUGACGUCGAUGAUGAGUGUCUUGAUCAUCUCGUUCCGUAUCAGCAGUGUAAUCAUCAUCAUAAUUGCCAUCCACUCGGUCUUCCUCCUUGUUUUCUUCCUUAUGCUUCUUUUUUUCCAUUGUGUGGAAAGCAUCAAAUCGCCUUAGGAGAGCAGCAAGGCUUUUGUCCACACUAGCAACGGAUUCCUCCAAACUUGUGAGCUUGUUGUUUGUGGCAAUCUGCGUAGCCUCCAACUGUCCCAGCUUUUCAUUUGUCACCUGCAAGUCGUUAUCAAGUCCCUCUGUGUGCAGCUUCACUUUCCUUUCAAAAUGUUGUAUGAUGCCCUUAGUGCGAGGUGUAAGUGGUGUUUCAUUACCAUCAUCUGCCCCUGGCAUGGUUCAAAGACAAAGACAACAAAAAGGCAAGUGAAGAAAUAAAAGCCCUACAACUACUAGGAUGUAGCUACAGCAAGUCGCUCACACUCAACCUGUAACACAAGUUCUUACCAAUUCUUGCGUUGCUUGACAGGAGGGGUCGUCUGCCAACAAGUGUACAGCAAUGGACGAAGUGUAUCGGUGCUGCAGCACAAGACCUGUCAAGCUGUAGAGUAUGUGGAGCUAUAGGUGGGCUGAAACAAGGAACGAACUAGCACCACGUUAGUUAUAAAAGCGAGCUGAAUAAACGCUCAACGGUGGUACUGUGCUGGUCCUAGCCUAGACCGUGCUAGAGACGCGAGCCUGGACACAAAGGGAAAACACAGCACACCACUAGAAACAAAAUGAGCAGCCCUACUGGAAACAAAAGGAACAACAAUCCCCUUCUUUUGAUUUUUUUUCUUUUUUCUUUCUUUCUUUCUUUUUUUUUCUUUAUUUUUUUUUCUUUCUCUUUUCUUUUUUUUUGGGGAACCUCAAAACCUGAUUAUAUAAACGAAAUAGUACAAAAUAUCACUUCACCACUCUCACCCUCUCACUAGAGUAAGGCUGAACUUCAAAAUUCAAUAUAUCUAGCACAAGUAUGAAGUGCUAUCUUUCCUUUUGGAUCACGUUGAUGGAAACACAGAAUAGACCAACAAGUGGCUGCACCUAUUAUCAAGAUCUACUCAAAUUCCAACCCACAAUAGAUUGGACGCAGUUGUGACUAGAUGGUGACAAGAACUCAAAACUCUAAAGGACUAAACUAAAACCAACACUGGACACGACCGAAGCAAACACUCAUUCAACCAGCCCUAACUAAGUAGUACUAGCCACGGCACAAAGGAUUUAUAGGAUUAUGGAAAACAAAUCUGCUAUAUUUUUUUGUCUUUUUUUUGGACUAUAGGAAAAACAAACACGAAGAAUUGGAAAUCUCUCACCGAUAAACCUUGCUCUGAUUACCAACUGAUGUGAACCCACUAGGGUUUUCGCCUGAUCUUUCGAUGAGAGGUGCUGGAUAACUCGAUUAGUGAAUGGAGAUGACGUUCACGGCCCGACUACAGCCCUCAAGACUGCGCCUUAGCAACCGAUACACCGCCUCCAAUGGCUGUCACGAUCUUGUGGAGCGCAACACCCGGCCACUAGGGCACUCGUCCUGCAAGCAAUCGAAGAACCAGCAAGAACAAGUAGAACAAGUACUAAAUUACCAGAUGUAAAUGAAGGUUUCAAACUCAAUCUCUAAUGAAGUGGGGUUUCGAAAACAAGAAGACGGGCGGCUGGAUCAGCACGCGCGUUUACAAGCAAGUAGCGAAGGCUAAACUUUAUCUAAUCAAAACCCAGUU
rnacentral:lncRNA from 1 species